UGAAAUGUUGGGACAAAAAAGUAGGAGGAUAUACCAUUUUCCAUUUUGAAACACUUUAAUUGCUGCUAAAACAUAUUAUGAAACACAAAUAGCACUCCUUACAUUCAUAUAAUCACUUUAAUGUGAUUUUACAAGAUGAAAACCAAGCAUAUACACAAUCCAGUCCAACAUUUUAAAGGAAAAUUUAGUAGCACGGCCAUCAUUAAUCCAAAUGAUAUCAGUGCUGCUAAACAUGAUAUAUUGAGUGAUCAUGCAUGCUUUUAUUUUAUAUAUACUACAUUCUAUGAAGAACUAGUAUAUAUAUAUAUAUACUUUCCAUACUAUAUAUCAUAGACUAGAGUACAUGCAUGCAUCGUCAGAUCAAAACACUCCUCUAGUUCUGAGGCUUGACUUCGGUAGUCUCUGCGUCCACCACCUCACCUGCAUAGUUGCAGCACCUAUAAUGGCAGUAUCCGUACCUGCACCCACCACCACCAUGGCCACCACCACCAUGGUAACCUCCACCGCCGUGGUAGCCUCCACCGCCGUGGUAGCCUCCACCGCCGUGGUAGCCUCCACCGCCGUGGUAGCCUCCACCGCCGUUGUAGCCUCCACCGCCGUUGUAGCCUCCACCGCCGUAGCCAUUAUAUCCGCUCCUCCCAUCAACAGUAGCUGCCUCAGCUGAAUGUGUAGUAUGGAAUCAUGUCAGCCAAUUCAAGCUAAUAAUAUAUACAGCUGCCAACUUUACUAUGCAACAAUUAUUUAUUUUUAUUUUUGUCAAUGCUAUGCAACAAUUGCAUAUAAAAUUCUAGUAAAAUCACUCCUGGAUUUUUGAAAGACUAAUAAUAUCUAUAAUUAGACAAAAACUGUUUAAUUGAACUAGACAAAACAUUGAUGAGUUAAAUUGCACAACUAAUAAAACUUUUGUUUAUAUAAAAUUAUACCAUUUUUGUCUAACUAUUAUACCUAACAUUAUUCUUGAAUUAUAUGAAGGACGCAACAAAUAAGAGCUUGAUUAAAUUGAAAACUAUAUACACAAAUUAAAAUAUGAGCU
rnacentral:lncRNA from 1 species